CGCCGCCGUCAACUUGAACUUCAGUGAGCCUAGGCCGGCUUCCUUCGCGCUCACCUCCAUCCACCACCUAAGAAGUCCCCUCAGCGCGAGCGUCGCUUUAUCCGGAGGCAGCUGGAGCCCCCUCGGGAGGCCCGUCAUUAUUAUUAUUAAUUAUCGUGAUCCUUACUGCAUUAUUAAUGCCCAGGAUGAUAACCGGCAUCGGUAUCAGCUUUCCCUGGUUCAGUGAUAUCCCACGAAGUUCGGGGCGGGGAGGAAGUCACUCCAGGAUCAGAGGCCGCGUCGGUUCUGCUUGGGGCAUGGGCAGAGGGAGGCUGCUGGGGCCAAGCCCCGGCUGGACGCGAGGGAAGAAACUCGUCCCAGGACCCGCACGCCCAUACCUGGCUGUCCCAGAGCUCUUCCCUAGGCCGGCACCUUCGCUCUUCCUCUUCCCCACCCCCUAGCCCUUUUGUCUCUUUUUCAGACGGAUGUUUUCAGUCUCAAGUGGUUUUAUUUUCCGCACAAAACCCUGAGAUCAAGGGCAGAUCACAGACUGUACCGGAGGCUCGGGUUUCCCUGGACUCUGUGCUGUUCUGCGUCCCAGGGUUGGCUAGGAAGGAAGGCCUGGGCCGGCGAGGUGACGGGUCUCCCGCCCAGGUCGGCAGGACGGGGGGAGGUGUGUCCCGGUAGGUCCCUGGUGAGCUCACCCGUGGCAUCGGGGACCCGCGGGAACCCACCGGGCGCCCACUAGAGACUCGGGUCCUACCCUCCCCCACACUACUCCACCGAAAUGAUCGGAAGGGCGCGCUAGGCCUGCUUCCAAGGGCUCAGUGAUAAAGGCCUCAAAAUCACACUCCAUCAAGACUUGGUUGAAGCUUUGGGUAGGUUUGUUGUUGUUGUUGUUGUUGUUUGUUUGUUUGUUUUAGCAGACACGUCCUGGAAAGAGGUCCUCAGAACCCAAAGGUUCAAUAAUGAUUUGUGGAUGGAUUGAUUAUAGUCUGAUAUCGCUCUGGUUCCACAGAAACCCGGAGCUCCUUGGCCCACUGUUACCCCAGCAGACCUAAAUGGACGGUUUCUGUUUUUCACUGGCAGCUCAGAACUGGACCGGAAGAAGUUCCCC
rnacentral:lncRNA from 1 species